AGGAGAGAACUGUUAGCCUCCUGGGGCUUGUUUUCUCUCGGACAGAGAGGGGCUCCCAGUGUGUCUACAGCGACUCAGUACAUCCAGCGGAGGAAGGGGCCCUGAUAACCCCAGCCACCAUGGCCCUGCCUGAGCAGAUGCCAGCGUCUGUUCCUAAGGCGUCUGUUCUCUCCUUGCGUGAGAUCAGCUACCCGUGUGGCUCUCCCUGGUCUGAGUGGCUCCAUGGAGUGUGUAUUCAUCUUUGAAAAUGUUUUUUCUAUAAUGGGAACAUCUCUAUUCAAGAACACAGCCUGGGAAAAUGAAAACAUGGGGUGUAAAUGGAUACCACUGGGCUGACUGGGAAAGCAUAGGUGACCUAGGGUGUGGUCUCACACCUUGUCCUCAAGCAGACGCAGAGCCUGUGCCUUUUCUGCAGCGAGAUGCUUCUGGGGGGGCCUGUGCAUUUGGAAGAGGAGUUGGCUGUGGUCCAGGGAGGCUGUGAGACUCUCACUCUUCAAUGGACGACAGAUCUGCAGGCCACUCUGCGAGGCCACCGGAUGGCAGUGUUGUCUUGUCCGGCUGGGUAUCGCACAGCUGGGGGCCCGGUGUUCUAUAAGGAAGUGGUUGCUGGUCCAAGAUCUCCCAGUGCAGACUACUGAGCUCCUGUGAGAGCCCUGGGCCUGAUGGUUAAUCCUUUUCAUAACCUGGAAGGAGGGUUGGCUUGUCCUCAUAUCAAAGUGGAAAAACAGGAGAUAAACCAGCAAAGUUGGUAGUAAUUUGUACUGGCAGAGAUAAAUCGAAAGUUGAAACUGCCCCUGGAUUCGUUUUCUUCCUUCUGAUUGUCUCAUUUACUUUUGAACUGACUGUGGAGAACCAUGCAGCUGGCCUAGAGGUCGGAUUGUGAUGAUGUGCUGUUUUCCCUCUUCAUUUCGGGUGCUGAGAGCAUUCACCCAUAAACUCUGAAACAUCGGUUAGCUUCUCGGGAGAUCAUCUUGAAGUCCAGUUCUGCUAUCACUACUUCCUGGGAGGAGUGCUAUGUACAAAUCUCUGGAGCAGGUUAUAGACGUGGAGACCUCCAGGAGACCUGCC
ensembl:lncRNA